CACUGCUCAGAGCAAAGCCGUCGAAAGGCGGUGACGCAGAGCCACGGGGCUACAGCGGUUCGCCGCUAUGCUCGCCGGGCCGCCAGU
rfam:Gemmatimonadetes bacterium 13_2_20CM_2_69_23 13_2_20cm_2_scaffold_3836, whole genome shotgun sequence.